CCAAUAAGUGAUCAAUUUAAAUGUAGCAGUUUUCUGGAGUUAUAUCCCCUCUGGAGGAGACUGUCAUUGUUGCAGAGGUUCAAAAUAAGUGGAAACAAAGAAUAGAGUUUCAGUCUACUAGCUCAUUGACACUGUUUUAUUUUGCAAUGGUACCACAAAGCCUUUAUUAAGGUUUAUUCUUCAGUCUCCACUUUCUGCCGCAAUCCAAAAACGAAGCCUAAACGACCCAGGUCCGAAUUCCAGCGUUUUGUGCCGAUGUCGUCAUAUGGAGCCCGACCAUCAUUUCAGCUGCACGCACAGAAAGGCAGUGAAGUUCCCUGGAGGUGGUGCACCACAGUGUCCUCUGGUGGCUGCAUGGACUAACUGCAUGUAAUGUUAAACUCUCAGCGGACUGCCACGGCUGGUUCAACGCCUGCAAAGCUGAAGGUGAUUUUGGGGGAGAUCAACGUUGAAAAACUGACCCAUUCCAGAUGGAAUCCCAAACUCACUGGAUGACCUUCUCCGCAAGAUAAAGAAUACCUUUGGGCUGGAGGGCAACAUCAGAGUACAAUACAUGGACCCAGAUUUUGGCAACGACUUUUUCAACCUGAAUUCUACCACUGAGCUUCAGGAUUUGGGGACAAUCAAGGUGAUCCACCAGCAAACAAAUCAACAGUGCCACUGAGACCACAUCAUCUGUCAACUGAGUCUGAUGACAGUUUUUCAGCGGAUCAAAUGAUACAGUGCUCCUCUCGUCCCCUGAGUCUGUGUCAUCUCGAAAACAACAGUGGCCAGCGGCCUUCCCACUACCUCGAUUUUCGUACGACACAGGGCUGCAACUAGAGAAGGGGAAUUCUGAGUACCGCGUCAGCCUCAAAAUAUUGACCCUCACUUCCCGAAUGAAGUCUGAUAUCCUGAAUAGACUGGCAGAAGAAAUGUUCAAGUACAAAGCUUACCCAGAAGAUGCCCAUUUCUGCACAGUUGCAGAGGCCUUAAUCAAGAAGCACCCUUGUUUAAAGGAGCCUUGCUCAUUUAAUGGGUGCUACGGUUGGAAACAGAGACUGAAGUACAAAGUUGGGAACUUCAGGACUCAGCUGAAAUUGCAGGGGUGUCCAGAGCUGUCAGUAAAUUCCCUGAAAUCCAAAGCAACUACAGAUGCUUUCCCGGCUUAAAAAAGUGAAGAGGCCAAAACGAGCUGAAGCAAAUUUUUCCCCAUCCCUAACCAUUGGUGAGACUCUGGAAAGCCUUGAAAAAGAGAGACUUGAACUUCAGAGGGAGGUCAGUACAAGGAGUAACGAAAGAGUCAUCGCGGACAAAAUGGCUCUCACAUUUGCCUACAGAAGACAAGAGGUCAUUAACAAAGAGCCCAGCCUAAAAUAUUUCAAGGACAGAUGGCCAGGACUCUUCCAAAAAAGAGAGAUCAACACAGAGUUCCAGAGGCUCAUGGCUGUUCCCCUGGAGGAAAAAUUCAUGGCCCAGUUAGACAUGAACUCCAGUGAGCUGAUGAGAGUCAUCCGUUCCAAAGGAGGAGCAACACGACAGAAGAUUGCUGGCAUCAUUCAGACUUUGGA